UCGAAUUUUAUAAACUCGAGUCUUGAAAGGGUGCAACCUUUUCGCGGCUCGUUUUCAUAAAACCAACCCCAUUUGUGAACCAUCGCGUGAGUUAGUAGGGGUGUGUGUGUGUGUGUGUGUGUGUGCUUUGUUGUGCAUGCACACACUCCCCCUUGAAAGCUUGCGACAAUCCUACAUACCCCAAUAUUAAGUCUCAGAAUGUUACCUUGCGUUAGAACGCAAUAAAAAUA
rnacentral:misc_RNA from 1 species